AAACUUUCAACAACGGAUCUCUUGGCUCUGGCAUCGAUGAAGAACGCAGCGAAAUGCGAUAAGUAAUGUGAAUUGCAGAAUUCAGUGAAUCAUCGAAUCUUUGAACGCACAUUGCGCCC
rnacentral:rRNA from 1 species